AUCAAAUGAAGAAAAGCCUAUGGUGGAUGCCUAGGCACCUAGAUACGAUGAAGGGCGUGGAAACCAACGAAAUGCUUCGAGGAGCUGGAAACAAGCUACGAUUCGAAGAUUCCCGAAUAGGGCAACCUUUUAAACUUUUUAUUCAAUUCAUAAAUAAAAAAGAGAUAACUUAGCGAACUGAAACAUCUUAGUAGCUAAAGGAAAAGAAAGCAAACGCGAUUCCCGUAGUAGCGGCGAGCGAAAUGGGAACAGCCUAAACUCAAUUACUUUUUAAGUUUGGCUUAUGAAGUUUUAUACAUUGAGGGUUGUGGGAAGAAUAUAACAUAAUUUUCUAUUUUGUUUUCUACAAAUAUAAAAAUUAUUAUCUAAAAUAUCUAAUUAGAUGAAGCAGCUGAAUCCUGCACCAUAGAUGGUGAAAGUCCAGUAAUCAAAAAUUCUAUAUUUUUAUUUUCUUAUCCCGAGUAGCAUGGGGCACGUGAAAUCCCGUGUGAAUCUACGAGGACCACCUCGUAAGGCUAAAUAUUCCUAGGUGACCGAUAGUGAAAUAGUACUGCGAAGGAACGGUGAAAAAGAACCUCGAGAGGGGAGUGAAAUAGAACAUGAAACCGUAGGCUGUAUAGCAAUGGGAGGGUUUAUUGUUCUAGGCCUUGGGUUACUUCGUUACCCAAGUUUAAGUCGGAAAGACCUGACCGUGUGCCUGUUGAAGAAUGAGCCGGCGACUUAUAGUAAGUGGCGAGGUUAAAGAAAACCAUCUGAAGCCAAAGCGAAAGCAAGUUUUAAUAGGGCGUUAUGUCAUUUACUAUGGACCCGAACCCGGGUGAUCUAACCAUGACCAGGAUGAAGCUUGGGUAAAACCAAGUGGAGGUCCGAACCGACCGAUGUUGAAAAAUCGGCGGAUGAGUUGUGGUUAGGGGUGAAAUGCCAAUCGAACUCGGAGCUAGCUGGUUCUCCCCGAAAUGCGUUGAGGCGCAGCGGUUAAUGAAUAUGGGCUAUCUAGGGGUAAAGCACUGUUUCGGUGCGGGCUGCGAGAGCGGUACCAAAUCGUGGCAAACUAAGAAUACUAGAUAUUUGCUUUCCAUUAAUCAGUGAGACAGUGGGGGAUAAGCUUCAUUGUCGAGAGGGAAACAGCCCAGAUCAUUAGCUAAGGCCCCUAAAUGGUUACUAAGUGGCAAAGGAGGUGGGAAUGCUUAAACAACCAGGAGGUUCGCUUAGAAGCAGCAACCCUUAAAAGAGUGCGUAAUAGCUCACUGGCGAAGCGUUCCUGCGCCGAAAAUGAACGGGACUAAGUAAUCUGCCGAAGCUGUGGGUUAAAAUUAAUUUUUCUAUUAAUUUUUACGGUAGGGGAGCGUUCCGCUAUAGGUUGAAGUAUGAACGGAAGUUCGUGUGGACGACGCGGAAGUGAGAAUGUCGGCUUGAGUAACGCAAACAUUGGUGCGAAUCCAAUGCCCCGAAAACCUAAGGAUUCCUUUACUAGGCUCGUCCGUGAAGGGUUAGUCAGGACCUAAGGCAAGGCUGAAAAGCGUAGUCGAUGGCAAACAGGUUAAUAUUCCUGUACUAAUUUUUAAUUGAUAACGAGGGACGAAGAAAGCAAAAAUUAGCCGAAAAAUGGAUUGUCGGUGGAAAUGUUAUAGGUGAAAUUAGAAAAAAAACUAAUUUUAAACUAAAGCAUGAUACGAUUUUUUCUCUUUAAGUAUCAAAAUGUAUUUUUUGGUAUUUCAAAGAGUAGUAAACAUAUUUGUUUAUGUUUAUGAUAAAAUUUAAUUUUUUGUUAUACUUCCUAGAAAAGCUUGUACUAUCACUAAUAAAAAAUUACCUGUACCAUAAACCGACACAGGUAGGUAGGUAGAGUAUACUAAGGGGCGCGAGAUAACUCUCUCUAAGGAACUCGGCAAAAUGGCCCCGUAACUUCGGGAGAAGGGGUGCCUCUGUUUUAAUUAUAUUAAAAAUUUAAAGAGGCCGCAGUGACCAGGCCCAAGCGACUGUUUACCAAAAACACAAGUCUCCGCUAAGUCGUAAGACAAUAUAUGGGGGCUGACGUCUGCCCAGUGCCAGAAGGUGAAAGAAGUUGGUUAUUCAUUCGUGGAGAAGCUGACGACUGAAGCCCUGGUGAACGGCGGCCUUAACUAUGAAGGUCCUAAGGUAGCGAAAUUCCUUGUCAGGUAAGUUCUGACCCGCACGAAAGGCGUAACGAUUUGGGCGCUGUCUCGGAGAGAGACUCGGUGAAAUAGACAUGUCCGUGAAGAUGCGGACUACCUGCACCUGGACAGAAAGACCCUAUGAAGCUUGACUGUAGCUUGUAAUUGGAUUCGGGCUUUUUUUGCGCAGCCUAGGUGGGAGGCAAUGAUGAUUUUCUUCUGGGAAAAUUUGAGCCGUCCGUGAGAGACCACUCUGAGAAAGCUAGAAUCCUAAUGAUGAUCCUUGAAUCAGGACAUUUGACAGUUGCAGGUGGGCAGUUUUACUGGGGCGGUAGCCUCCUAAAAAGUAACGGAGGCGUGCAAAGGUUCCCUCAGGCUGGACGGAAAUCAGCUUAAGAGUGUAAAGGUAUAAGGGAGCUUGACUGCAAGACAAACAAGUCGAGCAGGGGCGAAAGCCGGCCUUAGUGAUCCGACGGUACCGAGUGGAAGGGCCGUCGCUCAACGGAUAAAAGUUACUCUAGGGAUAACAGGCUGAUCUUCCCCAAGAGUUCACAUCGACGGGAAGGUUUGGCACCUCGAUGUCGGCUCUUCGCAACCUGGGGCGGUAGUACGUCCCAAGGGUUGGGCUGUUCGCCCAUGAAAGCGGUACGUGAGCUGGGUUCAGAACGUCGUGAGACAGUUUGGUCCAUAUCCGGUGUAGGCGUUGGAGUAUUGAGAGAAUUUUUCCAUUGUACGAGAGGACCUGGAAGAACGUACCACUAGUAUACCAGUUCUCGUUCCAACGGGAAACGCUGGGUAGCCAAGUACGGAGUGGAUAACUGCUGAAAGCAUAUAAGUAGGAAGCCCACCUCAAGAUGAGUACUCUCAGGUUACGGUAAGACAAACCGUUUGAUAGGUAUCAAGUGUAAGGUUCGCAAUAAUUUUUAGCUGAGAUAUACUAAUAAACCGUGUAAUUUUGAU
rnacentral:rRNA from 1 species